rnacentral:rRNA from 1 species
CCUACGGGUGGCUGCAGUGGGGAAUAUUGGACAAUGGGCGAAAGCCUGAUCCAGCCAUGCCGCGUGUGUGAAGAAGGCCUUCGGGUUGUAAAGCACUUUCAGUGGGGAAGAAAGCCUUGGGGCUAAUACCCUCGAGGAAGGACAUCACCCACAGAAGAAGCACCGGCUAACUCCGUGCCAGCAGCCGCGGUAAUACGGAGGGUGCGAGCGUUAAUCGGAAUUACUGGGCGUAAAGCGCGCGUAGGCGGUCUGAUAAGCCGGUUGUGAAAGCCCCGGGCUCAACCUGGGAACGGCAUCCGGAACUGUCAGGCUAGAGUGCAGGAGAGGAAGGUAGAAUUCCCGGUGUAGCGGUGAAAUGCGUAGAGAGCGGGAGGAAUACCAGUGGCGAAGGCGGCCUUCUGGACUGACACUGACGCUGAGGUGCGAAAGCGUGGGUAGCAAACAGGAUUAGAUACCCCGGUAGUC